AAUGAUGGAAGGCAAUUUUUGGGCUGCUCAUGGGCCAUUUUGCUUGCUGAGAGUGCUUCUCAGCUUGCUUGCUGAGGGUGUUUCUCAGCCUAUUUGCUCGCUAUAGCAGCGAUGCAUUUAGGAAGGUGGUGAGGCCAGUACACCCUCUCACUCGUCAAUUCCACCGCUGCAGCGAUGCAUUUAGGAAGGCAGUGUGAAGCUUACUCAGUGAUUGGCUGGGAGAUCAUCUUACUUUAGUUGUAUUUUGUAACACGCCUAUUACCUGUAUCUUUUAUAUUCUUGUAAUGAACGUUUGGUAAUAAAGAACUUUAUUUGAACGUAUUUCAUUCUGUC
rnacentral:lncRNA from 1 species